AUUAACAACCUUGUUGAAUAAACGAACUUGCUGCAAGGUUGUUCCGACAUGUCCGAUACAGUCAUGAUGUAACAAUAUUGUUACAACCUUGUAUGGUUAACCUCGUAACAUUCUUGUUAUAUCAUGACCGUAUCAGACUUGUUAGAACAACCUUGUAACAAGUCUGAUAAUUCCAUCAAGCUUGUUGUU
rnacentral:miRNA from 1 species